rnacentral:rRNA from 1 species
GGUCAAGCUACAAAGGGCUGAUGGUGGAUACCUAGG